rnacentral:rRNA from 1 species
CACGUAGGGUGCGAGCGUUGUCCGGAAUUAUUGGGCGUAAAGAGCUCGUAGGCGGUGUGUCGCGUCGGCCGUGAAAACCUGCAGCUUAACUGUGGGCUUGCGGUCGAUACGGGCAGACUAGAGUGCGGUAGGGGAGAUCGGAAUUCCUGGUGUAGCGGUGAAAUGCGCAGAUAUCAGGAGGAACACCGGUGGCGAAGGCGGAUCUCUGGGCCGUAACUGACGCUGAGGAGCGAAAGCAUGGGGAGCGAACAGG